ACACACAUAUAUACGUGUGUGUGUGUGUGUGUGUGUGUGUGUGUGUGUGUAUGUGUGCGCGCGUGUGUGUGUGUAUACAUUGCUACACUAAGAUAUAGAUCUAGCCCUAUGGGUAUAUAUACGCAUGUAUGGCUAUAUAGAAAAACUAUGCCAAUA